rnacentral:rRNA from 1 species
AGAUUGAACGCUGGCGGCAGGCCUAACACAUGCAAGUCGAGCGGCAGCACGGGUACUUGUACCUGGUGGCGAGCGGCGGACGGGUGAGUAAUGCCUAGGAAUCUGCCUGAUAGGUGGGGGAUAGCGCUCGGAAACGGACGCUAAUACCGCAUACGUCCUACGGGAGAAAGCAGGGGACCUUCGGGCCUUGCGCUAUCAGAUGAGCCUAGGUCGAUUAGCGUAGGUUGGUGGGGUAAUGGCUCACCGAAGGCGACGAUCCGUAACUGGUCUGGAGAGGAUGAUCAGUCACACGUAGGAACUGAGACGACGGUCCAGACCUCCGUAAGGGAGCAGCGAGGUAGGG